rfam:Roseovarius sp. A-2 DNA, contig: RA2_contig0005.
CACCCGUCACAACGGCUUCCUGGCGUGACGGCGUCACACAAUGGAGCA